rnacentral:rRNA from 1 species
GAUGAACGCUGGCGGCGUGCCUAAUACAUGCAAGUCGAGCGAACGGACGAGAAGCUUGCUUCUCUGAUGUUAGCGGCGGACGGGUGAGUAACACGUGGAUAACCUACCUAUAAGACUGGGAUAACUUCGGGAAACCGGAGCUAAUACCGGAUAAUAUUUUGAACCGCAUGGUUCAAAAGUAAAAGACGGUCUUGCUGUCACUUAUAGAUGGAUCCGCGCUGCAUUAGCUAGUUGGUAAGGUAACGGCUUACCAAGGCAACGAUGCAUAGCCGACCGGAGAGGGGACACGGCCACACGGGACUUAGGACCGGGGCCGGACCCCUACGGGGGGCGGAGGGGGGGAAUCUGCCCAAAGGGGGGAAGGCCUAACGAGGCAACGCGGGGUGGGUAGGAAGGGUCUUGGGUUCGAAAAACCUUUUUAUGAGGAAAAAAAAGAUGUUGAAAAAACUGUGCACAUCUGACGGUACCCGAAUCAGAAGCCCCGGCUAACUACGGG